GGCCACACUGGGACUGAGACACGGCCCAGACUCCUACGGGAGGCAGCAGUAGGGAAUCUUCCGCAAUGGACGAAAGUCUGACGGAGCAACGCCGCGUGAGUGAUGAAGGCUUUCGGGUCGUAAAACUCUGUUGUUAGGGAAGAACAAGUACGAGAGUAACUGCGGUCCUUGACGGUACCUAACCAGAAAGCCACGGCUAACUACGUGCCAGCAGCCGCGGUAAUACGUAGGUGGCAAGCGUUAUCCGGAAUUAUUGGGCGUAAAGCGCGCGCAGGCGGUUUCUUAA
rnacentral:rRNA from 1 species